rnacentral:lncRNA from 1 species
GAAACUUUUUUAAGUUCAUAAAAAGAAUCUUUUAGGGGAGUCAUCACAACUUGGAAUGUUGUCUCUGAUAGGAUUGCAUAAAAACACUAUCACUAACAUUCUAUGGCUUGUCUAAGUUGGGAAGACAUUUUGAAUAUACUAAUCUUUUAGAGAAGUAUACUUUGCUUUGGCAAAUAUAUUCUUACCCUACCUGGGUGUAUUGCUCAAAUAAAGUAAAUAAAUGGCCAAAUUCUUUAAGCAUUUUCCAGACAUUAAAAGGUGAAUAAUUAGAAUCUGGUUGCAUACUUCAAAGGAAGAAAUACGCAGCAAAUUAAGGCGGAACCGUGACAAAGUGCAGCUGCCCAAUAGUCUGGGGUUAUACGCUCUGCUUAACUUCAGCUAUGUUGGCCUCACUAAAAGUUAAUCCACAGUUACUUAAGUGGAAAUUUUCAGAAAAUCCAUUUCAGAGCAAAUGUUAUGUGAGAGUCUAAAUGAGCCACAGCCCUCCGUUGGAUAGAAUAUCAGAUGCCCUGAUCAUAUUUACCAGUGGGUCAGAUUCCUCUAAGAUGUAACAGCUGUGUAAAGGAACACAGACUACAACCUUUGCCAGAAAGACUGUCGCCAGUCAUCUGACGAUCAGAUCUGGAGGUGUGAGACAGAAGACAAGUGUGAGGACAACCGGGAACAUGAGAACUACUCAAGUAAGAAGAUACCGGUCCUUGUCCCCUAACACACACAGAAGGUCACUAAAGGCAUUCUGGUACAAACAGAGCAAAGGGAUCAAUGGUUCAUGGACCCUGCUGUUUCCCAGGGAAUCACUGAAACCCAAGGAUCUGGAUUAG